ACUCUGCAUGUUGGGCAGCAUUUUUCCUACCAUGCUUUUCUUUCAGCUUUGGAAAUAGAAAUAUAAAAAUAGAAAUUGAUGUGCACACUGUUGCUGAAUUCAGCUCUUUCUGUUUUGAUGAUCAUGCCCAGUUGGUUGAUUAUAAAUGUUAUGUUUUCCCCUCUGUUGCAGAGCAGCUGGUAUAGUGGAUCCUGCCAGUGUUCAGUGACAUGGAAAUGAUGCCAAAUGACCACACACAGAUGACUAACAAAGGAAUCCUCAGAAUUCCCUGUGUCAUCCACACGGCCUGUUUGAGAAAGAAUUCAGAGAGGUCUGCGAGGUCCUGCUCCCUUCAUUGUUGAUUCAGCUAGUGGCACACCCCCCACCCAGGACCCAUAAAUGGAAGCGGUCUUUUGUGCGAGGGGAGUGGAGCAGAUUUACUGCGGAUGGUCUCCUUACAAAGGACUGCACCACUGUCACAACAGGACCAGGAUCAGCUGCUCCAACUUUCACACAUGAUUUGACUGUGGGGCCCACGCAGACUUCCUCAAGUGAGUGUUCAUUCUGUUUGAACAAAAGCACUGCUAAUCUGUGAAGAAAGACCUCGUCACCUGCAGGGGUCCACCUGCUCGACCUGCACCGGGUCUCUGGUUUCUCUCUUCCCACUGACCUGAGACAAUACAGGGUCGGCCAGCUUCACCUUCUGUCCCUGCUCUAGUUACACAACCACCCAGGGCAACGGAGGACAUGAAAGCUCUGCUUCUUUGAGGUUGGUGAACUCAGGUGAAGGCAGUUACACACCUUUACGCUCACAGGGACACACACAGAGUAUGCCA